UACGUAGGGGGCUAGCGUUGUCCGGAAUCAUUGGGCGUAAAGAGCGCGUAGGCGGCCAGAUAAGUCCGGUGUGAAAGUCAAAGGCUCAACCUUUGAAUGCCGCUGGAAACUGUCUGGCUAGAGUCCGGGAGGGGCGAGUGGAAUUCCUGGUGUAGCGGUGAAAUGCGCAGAUAUCAGGAGGAACACCAAUGGCGAAGGCAGCUCGCUGGAACGGUACUGACGCUGAUGCGCGAAAGCUAGGGGAGCAAACGGG
rnacentral:rRNA from 1 species